GACGAACGCUGGCGGCGUGCUUAACACAUGCAAGUCGAACGGUGAAGCGCCUUCCUUUUUGGUGGGUGUGGAUGAGUGGCGAACGGGUGAGUAACACGUGAGUAACCUGCCCCCUUCUUCUGGAUAACCGCAUGAAAGUGUGGCUAAUACGGGAUAUUCUGGGUCUGUCGCAUGAUGGGUCUGGGAAAGAUAUUGUUUCGGUGGGGGAUGGGCUCGCGGCCUAUCAGCUUGUUGGUGGGGUGAUGGCCUACCAAGGCGGUGACGGGUAGCCGGCCUGAGAGGGUGGACGGUCACACUGGGACUGAGACACGGCCCAGACUCCUACGGGAGGCAGCAGGGGGGAAUAUUGCACAAUGGGCGAAAGCCUGAUGCAGCGACGCCGCGUGAGGGAUGGAGGCCUUCGGGUUGUGAACCUCUUUCGCCAGUGAAGCAGGCCUGCCUCGUUUGUGGGUGGGUUGACGGUAGCUGGAUAAGAAGCGCCGGCUAACUACGUG
rnacentral:rRNA from 1 species